rnacentral:rRNA from 2 species
ACUGAUCAGGUAGUGACGGUAUCCAACCAGAAAGCCACGGCUAACUACGUGCCAGCAGCCGCGGUAAUACGUAGGUGGCAAGCGUUGUCCGGAUUUAUUGGGCGUAAAGCGAGCGCAGGCGGUUUCUUAAGUCUGAUGUGAAAGCCUUCGGCUCAACCGAAGAAGUGCAUCGGAAACUGGGAAACUUGAGUGCAGAAGAGGACAGUGGAACUCCAUGUGUAGCGGUGAAAUGCGUAGAUAUAUGGAAGAACACCAGUGGCGAAGGCGGCUGUCUGGUCUGUAACUGACGCUGAGGCUCGAAAGCAUGGGUAGCAAACAGGAUUAGAUACCCUGGUAGUCCAUGCCGUAAACGAUGAGUGCUAGGUGUUGGAGGGUUUCCGCCCUUCAGUGCCGCAGCUAACGCAUUAAGCACUCCGCCUGGGGAGUACGACCGCAAGGUUGAAACUCAAAGGAAUUGACGGGGGCCCGCACAAGCGGUGGAGCAUGUGGUUUAAUUCGAAGCAACGCGAAGAACCUUACCAGGUCUUGACAUCCUUUGACCACUCUAGAGAUAGAGCUUUCCCUUCGGGGACAAAGUGACAGGUGGUGCAUGGUUGUCGUCAGCUCGUGUCGUGAGAUGUUGGGUUAAGUCCCGCAACGAGCGCAACC